UACGUAGGGUCCGAGCGUUGUCCGGAAUUAUUGGGCGUAAAGGGCUCGUAGGCGGUCUGUUGCGUCGGGAGUGAAAACUUGCAGCUUAACUGUGAGCGUGCUUUCGAUACGGGCAGACUUGAGGUAUUCAGGGGAGAACGGAAUUCCUGGUGUAGCGGUGAAAUGCGCAGAUAUCAGGAGGAACACCGGUGGCGAAGGCGGUUCUCUGGGAAUAUCCUGACGCUGAGGAGCGAAAGUGUGGGGAGCGAACAGG
rnacentral:rRNA from 1 species